rnacentral:tRNA from 1 species
GGAAGAGUCGCAUAGUGGUCUAGUGCACCGGUUUCGAAAACCGGCAUCGGGGAAACUCGAUCGAGGGUUCAAAUCCCUCCUCUUCCGCAA